UGCACAGUAAUUAUAUGAUAGAAAACUGAGAUGUUAAGUUGUCAAAUUUUUCUUUAUUUCUUGAAUAAUUAAAAAUGUCUACGACUAGUGAAUAACUUUAUGUCAAAUGCAUAAUCCAUCCCUGAAUGAAUAUUUUGUGUGUUUGCCUGGCCUGAUGCAUAAUCCAUCCCUGAAUGUCAAAUGCAUAAUCCAUCUCAUUAUGAGUAAAAUUAUUAUGCGAUUG
rnacentral:misc_RNA from 1 species